rnacentral:rRNA from 1 species
GAUGAACGCUGGCGGCGUGCCUAAUACAUGCAAGUAGAACGCUGAAGCUUGGUGCUUGCACCGAGCGGAUGAGUUGCGAACGGGUGAGUAACGCGUAGGUAACCUGCCUCUUAGCGGGGGAUAACUAUUGGAAACGAUAGCUAAUACCGCAUAAAAGUCGAUAUCGCAUGAUGUUGACUUGAAAGGUGCAAUUGCAUCACUAAGAGAUGGACCUGCGUUGUAUUAGCUAGUUGGUGAGGUAACGGCUCACCAAGGCGACGAUACAUAGCCGACCUGAGAGGGUGAUCGGCCACACUGGGACUGAGACACGGCCCAGACUCCUACGGGAGGCAGCAGUAGGGAAUCUUCGGCAAUGGGGGCAACCCUGACCGAGCAACGCCGCGUGAGUGAAGAAGGUUUUCGGAUCGUAAAGCUCUGUUGUAAGAGAAGAACGAGUGUGAGAGUGGAAAGUUCACACUGUGACGGUAACUUACCAGAAAGGGACGGCUAACUACGUGCCAGCAGCCGCGGUAAUACGUAGGUCCCGAGCGUUAUCCGGAUUUAUUGGGCGUAAAGCGAGCGCAGGCGGUUAGAUAAGUCUGAAGUUAAAGGCUGUGGCUUAACCAUAGUACGCUUUGGAAACUGUUUAACUUGAGUGCAGAAGGGGAGAGUGGAAUUCCAUGUGUAGCGGUGAAAUGCGUAGAUAUAUGGAGGAACACCGGUGGCGAAAGCGGCUCUCUAGUCUGUAACUGACGCUGAGGCUCGAAAGCGUGGGGAGCAAACAGG